rnacentral:lncRNA from 1 species
CGGAGGACCUCUAGCUUCCGUCCUCCUCUGUGUACAUUUACUUUAUUACAAAACCUAGGAGGCUCAUGGAUCUCACCCCCUUCCAUAGACUUACACAGUAAUUAGGAAUUUUGACAACUUCUGGAGGAAAUCCUCCAAACUAUCAGAGCUCUUGCACCAUGAACUGACAUGUUGUCCAUCCAAUCAAAUGAUCAGAGAAUGAGUCUAGUACAGAAAUCAUAAGCUACAGCUAGCUAGCACUGCAAUGCAUAAAAUGUGGUGAGUAGGUGAUUCAAAGAGAAAAACAAUAGUUGAACAGUUUUGAACAAAUUAAUUUCUUCAAAAAUGGAAGAGGAGCAAGAGAGAGAGGUAGAUAUAUUUCAUUCGUUUUUUGACUUUCACUUACUUAGUUAGAAAUUGCAGCUAGCUAGUUUAGCCUACUCAAACACGUGGCUCAAACAGAGGGAUGCUAUGUUGGCUAGCUGACUAUGACUGUCCAACACCGGAGCUCUUCCAAGUCAAGGCAGCUGAUGUGUUGUGCAUUGAAGUCCACAAGCAAAGGGGAAAAAGUGAGAGGAGAAGAGCAUGUAGAUACGAGAAGGAAUACAAUGAGCUGUUUUUGAGAGUGCUUACAGAGGAUGAGAGAGACAUUGGAGAGAAGUUGAUGUGGACCUGAUGAGCGGUGAGGAG